AGGUCGAGCGGAACGAUGGGAGCUUGCUCCCAGGCGUCGAGCGGCGGACGGGUGAGUAACACGUGGGAAUCUGCCCAUUAGUGGGGGAUAACUCGGGGAAACUCGAGCUAAUACCGCAUAAUCCCUACGGGGGAAAGCAGGGGAUCUUCGGACCUUGCGCUGAUGGAUGAGCCCGCGUCGGAUUAGCUUGUUGGUGGGGUAAUGGCCCACCAAGGCGACGAUCCGUAACUGGUCUGAGAGGAUGGCCAGUCACACCGGGACUGAGACACGGCCCGGACUCCUACGGGAGGCAGCAGUGGGGAAUCUUGGACAAUGGGCGCAAGCCUGAUCCAGCCAUGCCGCGUGUGUGAAGAAGGCCUUCGGGUUGUAAAGCACUUUCAGUAGGGAGGAAGGCUUUGGGCUAAUACCCUGGAGUACUUGACGUUACCUACAGAAGAAGCACCGGCUAAUUUCGUGCCAGCAGCCGCGGUAAUACGAAAGGUGCGAGCGUUAAUCGGAAUUACUGGGCGUAAAGCGCGCGUAGGCGGUGUGUUAAGUCGGAUGUGAAAGCCCAGGGCUCAACCUUGGAAUUGCAUCCGAUACUGGCACGCUAGAGUGCAGUAGAGGGAGGUGGAAUUUCCGGUGUAGCGGUGAAAUGCGUAGAGAUCGGAAGGAACACCAGUGGCGAAGGCGGCCUCCUGGACUGACACUGACGCUGAGGUGCGAAAGCGUGGGGGAGCAAACAGGAUUAGAUACCCUGGUAGUCCACGCCGUAAACGAUGUCUACUAGCCCGUUGGGGGUCCUUAGUGACUUUGGUGGC
rnacentral:rRNA from 1 species